UACGGGGGGAGCAAGCGUUGUUCGGAUUUACUGGGCGUAAAGGGCGCGUAGGCGGCGCAACAAGUCACCUGUGAAAUCUCCGGGCUUAACCCGGAGCGGCCAAGUGAUACUGUCGUGCUAGAGUGCGGAAGGGGCUACUGGAAUUCUCGGUGUAGCGGUGAAAUGCGUAGAUAUCGAGAGGAACACCUGCGGCGAAGGCGGGUAGCUGGGCCGACACUGACGCUGAGGCGCGAAAGCCAGGGGAGCGAACAGG
rnacentral:rRNA from 1 species